UGCAGUCGAGCGACAGAAGGGAGCUUGCUCCCGGAUGUUAGCGGCGGACGGGUGAGUAACACGUGGGUAACCUGCCUGUAAGACUGGGAUAACUCCGGGAAACCGGAGCUAAUACCGGAUAGUUCCUUGAACCGCAUGGUUCAAGGAUGAAAGACGGUUUCGGCUGUCACUUACAGAUGGACCCGCGGCGCAUUAGCUAGUUGGUGGGGUAAUGGCUCACCAAGGCGACGAUGCGUAGCCGACCUGAGAGGGUGAUCGGCCACACUGGGACUGAGACACGGCCCAGACUCCUACGGGAGGCAGCAGUAGGGAAUCUUCCGCAAUGGACGAAAGUCUGACGGAGCAACGCCGCGUGAGUGAUGAAGGUUUUCGGAUCGUAAAGCUCUGUUGUUAGGGAAGAACAAGUGCGAGAGUAACUGCUCGCACCUUGACGGUACCUAACCAGAAAGCCACGGCUAACUACGUGCCAGCAGCCGCGGUAAUACGUAGGUGGCAAGCGUUGUCCGGAAUUAUUGGGCGUAAAGGGCUCGCAGGCGGUUUCUUAAGUCUGAUGUGAAAGCCCCCGGCUCAACC
rnacentral:rRNA from 1 species